GACGAACGCUGGCGGCGUGCUUAACACAUGCAAGUCGAACGGAAAGGCCCUGCUUUUGUGGGGUGCUCGAGUGGCGAACGGGUGAGUAACACGUGAGUAACCUGCCCUUGACUUUGGGAUAACUUCAGGAAACUGGGGCUAAUACCGGAUAGGAGCUCCUGCUGCAUGGUGGGGGUUGGAAAGUUUCGGCGGUUGGGGAUGGACUCGCGGCUUAUCAGCUUGUUGGUGGGGUAGUGGCUUACCAAGGCUUUGACGGGUAGCCGGCCUGAGAGGGUGACCGGCCACAUUGGGACUGAGAUACGGCCCAGACUCGUACGGGAGGCAGCAGUGGGGAAUAUUGCACAAUGGGCGGAAGCCUGAUGCAGAAACGCCGCGUGCGGGAUGACGGCCUUCGGGUUGUAAACCGCUUUCGCCUGUGACGAAGCGUGAGUGACGGUAAUGGGUAAAGAAGCACCGGCUAACUACGUG
rnacentral:rRNA from 1 species